rnacentral:rRNA from 1 species
GACGAACGCUGGCGGCGUGCUUAACACAUGCAAGUCGAACGGAAAGGCCCUGCUUUUGUGGGGUGCUCGAGUGGCGAACGGGUGAGUAACACGUGAGUAACCUGCCCUUGACUUUGGGAUAACUUCAGGAAACUGGGGCUAAUACCGGAUAGGAGCUCCUGCUGCAUGGUGGGGGUUGGAAAGUUUCGGCGGUUGGGGAUGGACUCGCGGCUUAUCAGCUUGUUGGUGGGGUAGUGGCUUACCAAGGCUUUGACGGGUAGCUGGCCUGAGAGGGUGACCGGCCACAUUGGGACUGAGAUACGGCCCAGACUCCUACGGGAGGCAGCAGUGGGGAAUAUUGCACAAUGGGCGGAAGCCUGAUGCAGCAACGCCGCGUGCGGGAUGACGGCCUUCGGGUUGUAAACCGCUUUCGCCUGUGACGAAGCGUGAGUGACGGUAAUGGGGAAAGAAGCACCGGCUAACUACGU